AAAAAUUCCCGCUGCUGGCAAUAAGCUAAUAGAUGCCGAGAAUCGUCACUCUAAUUAUGAACUCUAGGCUUUCUUGCCCAUAGUCUACCGCUUCGCUCCUUACUACAGGAAGAAGAUUACUAUCAACAUCAGUGUACCAGCGGAAAAGAAGAUAGCUACUUACAUCCUUGCAUAUGUAUAAAAGUUCAGUAGCUAUCCCCGAUCCAGAAAGUGGUACUAUAAAAGCGACUAAAUAGUAACUCCGAGCCAAACGGUACGACUAUUUCCAAGGUAGAAAGCGAGAGUCGAGUUCCAGGCCCAAGGGGGAAAGAACGAAAGAAUGUCAAAACGAGAUCCACUCAGCAGGAUGCGAAGAAGACUAAACAAAAGCAAAACUACAGCGGAAAGGACAAGAGCAGGCCCACAAGCAAAAAAUGAUGCCAGGGGGAGACAGAUGCCAAACCAACAGAGUGACAAAAGACAACGAAUGCUUGCUUGCGAGUUGACAGGUGAGGAAGACAGCCAACCAAUAUACCUCUUUUUUUUAUUGUUUACUAAAAGCAAUAGACGAGUUCCAUAUAGACUAGACCCACUAAUGGAGCAAGUAAGACUGACUGUUUCCAGGUGCGCUUAUUCAAUUGACUCGUUCUUGUACGGUUCCUGCUUGUGCUUA
rnacentral:misc_RNA from 1 species